rnacentral:rRNA from 1 species
CCUACGGGCGGCAGCAGUGGGGAAUAUUGGGCAAUGGGCGCAAGCCUGACCCAGCAACGCCGCGUGAAGGAAGAAGGCUUUCGGGUUGUAAACUUCUUUUCUCAGGGACGAAGAAAGUGACGGUACCUGAGGAAUAAGCCACGGCUAACUACGUGCCAGCAGCCGCGGUAAUACGUAGGUGGCAAGCGUUAUCCGGAUUUAUUGGGUGUAAAGGGCGUGUAGGCGGGAGCGCAAGUCAGAUGUGAAAACUCAGGGCUCAACCUGUGGCCUGCAUUUGAAACUGUUUUUCUUGAGUACUGGAGAGGCAGACGGAAUUCCUAGUGUAGCGGUGAAAUGCGGAGAUAUUAGGAGGAACACCAGUGGCGAAGGCGGUCUGCUGGACAGCAACUGACGCUGAGGCGCGAAAGCGUGGGGAGCAAACAGGAUUAGAUACCCUUGUAGUC